rnacentral:rRNA from 1 species
GAUGAACGCUGGCGGCGUGCCUAAUACAUGCAAGUCGAGCGAACGGACGAGAAGCUUGCUUCUCUGAUGUUAGCGGCGGACGGGUGAGUAACACGUGGAUAACCUACCUAUAAGACUGGGAUAACUUCGGGAAACCGUAGCUAAUACCGGAUAAUAUUUUGAACCGCAUGGUUCAAAAGUGAAAGACGGUCUUGCUGUCACUUAUAGAUGGAUCCGCGCUGCAUUAGCUAGUUGGUAAGGUAACGGCUUACCAAGGCAACGAUGCAUAGCCGACCUGAGAGGGUGAUCGGCCACACUGGAACUGAGACACGGUCCAGACUCCUACGGGAGGCAGCAGUAGGGAAUCUUCCGCAAUGGGCGAAAGCCUGACGGAGCAACGCCGCGUGAGUGAUGAAGGUCUUCGGAUCGUAAAACUCUGUUAUUAGGGAAGAACAAAUGUGUAAGUAACUGUGCACAUCUUGACGGUACCUAAUCAGAAAGCCACGGCUAACUACGUG